CCUACGGGGUGCUGCAGUGGGGAAUAUUGGACAAUGGGCGAAAGCCUGAUCCAGCCAUGCCGCGUGUGUGAAGAAGGCCUUCGGGUUGUAAAGCACUUUCAGUGGGGAAGAAAGCCUUGGGGCUAAUACCCUCGAGGAAGGACAUCACCCACAGAAGAAGCACCGGCUAACUCCGUGCCAGCAGCCGCGGUAAUACGGAGGGUGCGAGCGUUAAUCGGAAUUACUGGGCGUAAAGCGCGCGUAGGCGGUCUGAUAAGCCGGUUGUGAAAGCCCCGGGCUCAACCUGGGAACGGCAUCCGGAACUGUCAGGCUAGAGUGCAGGAGAGGAAGGUAGAAUUCCCGGUGUAGCGGUGAAAUGCGUAGAGAUCGGGAGGAAUACCAGUGGCGAAGGCGGCCUUCUGGACUGACACUGACGCUGAGGUGCGAAAGCGCGGGUAGCAAACAGGAUUAGAUACCCUAGUAGUC
rnacentral:rRNA from 1 species